GAUGAACGCUGGCGGCGUGCCUAAUACAUGCAAGUCGAGCGAACAGACGAGGAGCUUGCUCCUCUGACGUUAGCGGCGGACGGGUGAGUAACACGUGUAUAACCUACCUAUAAGACUGGUAUAACUUCGGGAAACCGGAGCUAAUACCGGAUAAUAUAUUGAACCGCAUGGUUCAAUAGUGAAAGACGGUUUUGCUGUCUCUUAUAGAUGGAUCCGCGCCGCAUUAUCUAGUUGGUAAGGUAACGGCUUACCAAGGCGACGAUGCGUAGCCGACCUGAGAGGGUGAUCGGCCACACUGGAACUGAGACACGGUCCAGACUCCUACGGGAGGCAGCAGUAGGGAAUCUUCCGCAAUGGGCGAAAGCCUGACGGAGCAACGCCGCGUGAGUGAUGAAGGUCUUCGGAUCGUAAAACUCUGUUAUUAGGGAAGAACAAAUGUGUAAGUAACUAUGCACGUCUUGACGGUACCUAAUCAGAAAGCCACGGCUAACUACGUG
rnacentral:rRNA from 1 species